CAUGUGCCUGUGAUGGUUCUAAAUAUACUUUGAGAUUGAUUUCAUUGAUGUAAAUUUUCAUCUGAGGCACUAU